rnacentral:rRNA from 1 species
UACGUAGGGUGCAAGCGUUAAUCGGAAUUACUGGGCGUAAAGGGCUCGUAGGCGGCCAACUAAGUCCGACGUGAAAUCCCAAAGCUUAACUUUGGAACUGCGUCGGAUACUGGAUGGCUUGAAUUCGGGAGAGGGAUGCAGAAUUCCAGGUGUAGCGGUGAAAUGCGUAGAUAUCUGGAGGAAUACCGGUGGCGAAGGCGGCAUCCUGGACCGACAUUGACGCUGAGGAGCGAAAGCUAGGGGAGCAAACGGG